CAAAGACAAAAUACGAAGAUCAGUCAUUCAUUAUGUGUGCUCUGCCCUUUUUGCUUCCAUUUCUAUUUUGUUCGUUGUUUCUUUUUCUUCUUUCCUUUCUUUUUU
rnacentral:ribozyme from 17 species